rnacentral:ncRNA from 1 species
CGGUCUGCGGGAGGCGAUGACGCGCGGGCCAAUGCCGGCCGCCGGGACCGCGCGGAGCCACUGGCGAGACCGACCCGCGGGUGC